GUGCCAGCAGCCGCGGUAAUACGGAGGAUGCAAGCGUUAUCCGGAUUUAUUGGGUUUAAAGGGUGCGUAGGCGGAAACUUAAGUCAGUGGUGAAAUCCUGCAGCUUAACUGUAGCACUGCCAUUGAUACUGAGAUUCUUGAGUACGAUUGAGGUAGGCGGAAUGUGUAAUGUAGCGGUGAAAUGCUUAGAUAUUACACAGAACACCAAUUGCGUAGGCAGCUUACUAAGUCGCAACUGACGCUGAGGCACGAAAGCGUGGGGAUCGAACAGGAUUAGAUACCCCAGUAGUCC
rnacentral:rRNA from 1 species